rnacentral:rRNA from 1 species
AUUGAACGCUGGCGGCAUGCCUUACACAUGCAAGUCGAACGGCAGCACGGGUGCUUGCACCUGGUGGCGAGUGGCGAACGGGUGAGUAAUACAUCGGAACAUGUCCUGUAGUGGGGGAUAGCCCGGCGAAAGCCGGAUUAAUACCGCAUACGAUCUACGGAUGAAAGCGGGGGACCGUCGGGCCUCGCGCUAUAGGGUUGGCCGCUGGCUGAUUAGCUAGUUGGUGGGGUAAAGGCCUACCAAGGCGACGUUCAGUAGCUGGUCUGAGAGGACGACCAGCCACACUGGGACUGAGGCACGGCCCGGACUCCUACGGGAGGCAGCAGUGGGGAAUUUUGGACAGUGGGCGGAAGCCUGAUGCAGCAAUGCCGCGUGUGUGAAGAAGGCCUUCGGGUUGGAAAGCACUUUUGUACGGAAAGAAAACCUUGGCCCUAAUACGGUCGGGGGAUGACGGUACCGGAAGAAUAAGCACCGGCUAACUACGUG